UUUUACAGAUUUCUUCGGAAUGAAGUUUUAGUGACUGAGUGGCGGACGGGUGAGUAACGCGUGGGUAACCCGCCUCACACAGGGGGAUAACAGUUGGAAACGGCUGCUAAUACCGCAUAAGCGCACAGUACCGCAUGGUACAGUGUGAAAAACUCCGGUGGUGUGAGAUGGACCCGCGUCUGAUUAGCUUGUUGGCAGGGUAACGGCCCACCAAGGCGACGAUCAGUAGCCGGCCUGAGAGGGUGAACGGCCACAUUGGGACUGAGAUACGGCCCAGACUCC
rnacentral:rRNA from 1 species